rnacentral:rRNA from 1 species
GACGAACGCUGGCGGCGUGCUUAACACAUGCAAGUCGAACGGAAAGGCCCCUUUGGGGGUACUCGAGUGGCGAACGGGUGAGUAACACGUGAGUAACCUGCCCUUGACUUCGGGAUAACUUCAGGAAACUGGGGCUAAUACCGGAUAGGAAUCCUUGCUGCAUGGUGGGGGUUGGAAAGCUUCGGCGGUUUUGGAUGGACUCGCGGCUUAUUAGCUUGUUGGUGGGGUAGUGGCUUACCAAGGCUUUGACGGGUAGCCGGCCUGAGAGGGCGACCGGCCACAUUGGGACUGAGAUACGGCCCAGACUCCUACGGGAGGCAGCAGUGGGGAAUAUUGCACAAUGGGCGGAAGCCUGAUGCAGCAACGCCGCGUGCGGGAUGACGGCCUUCGGGUUGUAAACCGCUUUCAGCAGGGGCGAAGCUUGUGGUGACGGUACCUGCAGAAGAAGCACCGGCUAACUACGUG